rnacentral:rRNA from 1 species
UACAGAGGUCCCAAGCGUUGUUCGGAUUCACUGGGCGUAAAGGGUGCGUAGGCGGUCGGGUAAGUCUGAUGUGAAAUCUCACAGCUUAACUGUGAAACUGCAUUGGAUACUAUCCGGCUCGAGGAAUGGAGGGGAGACUGGAAUACUUGGUGUAGCAGUGAAAUGCGCAGAUAUCGGGAGGAACACCGGUGGCGAAGGCGGUUCUCUGGGCCUUACCUGACGCUGAGGAGCGAAAGCGUGGGGAGCGAACAGG